GGCAAUGUUUCUCUAAAACCAGA
rnacentral:piRNA from 1 species